AGGUUACUUCGGUAACUGACCUAGCGGCGGACGGGUGAGUAAUGCUUAGGAAUCUGCCUAUUAGUGGGGGACAACAUUCCGAAAGGAAUGCUAAUACCGCAUACGUCCUACGGGGGAAAGCAGGGGAUCUUCGGACCUUGCGCUAAUAGAUGAGCCUAAGUCGGAUUAGCUAGUUGGUGGGGUAAAGGCCUACCAAGGCGACGAUCUGUAGCGGGUCUGAGAGGAUGAUCCGCCACACUGGGACUGAGACACGGCCCAGACUCCUACGGGAGGCAGCAGUGGGGAAUAUUGGACAAUGGGCGCAAGCCUGAUCCAGCCAUGCCGCGUGUGUGAAGAAGGCCUUUUGGUUGUAAAGCACUUUAAGCGAGGAGGAGGCUCCUUUAGUUAAUACCUAAAGAGAGUGGACGUUACUCGCAGAAUAAGCACCGGCUAACUCUGUGCCAGCAGCCGCGGUAAUACAGAGGGUGCGAGCGUUAAUCGGAUUUACUGGGCGUAAAGCGUGCGUAGGCGGCUUUUUAAGUCGGAUGUGAAAUCCCUGAGCUUAACUUAGGAAUUGCAUUCGAUACUGGAAAGCUAGAGUAUGGGAGAGGAUGGUAGAAUUCCAGGUGUAGCGGUGAAAUGCGUAGAGAUCUGGAGGAAUACCGAUGGCGAAGGCAGCCAUCUGGCCUAAUACUGACGCUGAGGUACGAAAGCAUGGGGAGCAAACAGGAUUAGAUACCCUGGUAGUCCAUGCCGUAAACGAUGUCCACUAGCCGUUGGGGCCUUUGAGGCUUUAGUGGCGCAGCU
rnacentral:rRNA from 1 species